rnacentral:rRNA from 1 species
UACAGAGGGUGCGAGCGUUGUUCGGAAUUAUUGGGCGUAAAGGGCGCGUAGGCGGCUCUGAAAGUCGGAUGUGAAAUUCCGGGGCUCAACCCCGGAGCUGCAUUUGAAACUUCAGAACUAGAGUUCAGAUAGGGUAAACGGAAUUCCACGUGUAGCGGUGAAAUGCGUAGAUAUGUGGAAGAACUCCGGUGGCGAAGGCGGCACGCUGGACCUUUUCUGACGCUGAGGCGCGAAAGCCAGGGGAGCGAACGGG